AUUGAACGCUGGCGGCAGGCCUAACACAUGCAAGUCGAGCGGAUGAAGGGAGCUUGCUCCUGGAUUCAGCGGCGGACGGGUGAGUAAUGCCUAGGAAUCUGCCUGGUAGUGGGGGAUAACGUCCGGAGACGGGCGCUAAUACCGCAUACGUCCUGAGGGAGAAAGUGGGGGAUCUUCGGACCUCACGCUAUCAGAUGAGCCUAGGUCGGAUUAGCUAGUUGGUGGGGUAAAGGCCUACCAAGGCGACGACCCGUAACUGGUCUGAGAGGAUGAUCAGUCACACUGGAACUGAGACACGGUCCAGACUCCUACGGGAGGCAGCAGUGGGGAAUAUUGGACAAUGGGCGAAAGCCUGAUCCAGCCAUGCCGCGUGUGUGAAGAAGGUCUUCGGAUUGUAAAGCACUUUAAGUUGGGAGGAAGGGCAGUAAGUUAAUACCUUGCUGUUUUGACGUUACCAACAGAAUAAGCACCGGCUAACUUCGUG
rnacentral:rRNA from 1 species